rnacentral:rRNA from 1 species
AGGACGAACGCUGGCGGCGUGCUUAACACAUGCAAGUCGAACGGAAAGGCCCUUUCGGGGGUACUCGAGUGGCGAACGGGUGAGUAACACGUGGGUGAUCUGCCCUGCACUUCGGGAUAAGCUUGGGAAACUGGGUCUAAUACCGGAUAGGACUACGGACUGCAUGGUCUGUGGUGGAAAGCUUUUGCGGUGUGGGAUGGGCCCGCGGCCUAUCAGCUUGGUUGGUGGGGUGAUGGCCUACCAGGCGACGACGGGUA